rnacentral:tRNA from 1 species
UGGCUCAGAUGGUAAAGCGUCUGCCUACAAUGCAGGAGACCCUGGUUCAAUCCCUGG